GAACCUAAUUAUCGGGGACAUCCGAUAAAAUUGGAACGAUACAGAGAAAAUUAGCAUGACCCCUACGUAAGGAUGACACACACGAAUCGAGAAAUGGUCCAAAUUCUG
rfam:Helianthus annuus linkage group 15, whole genome shotgun sequence.